AUAUGCAUGCUCGAGCGCAUGAUAAACAACGUGUUGGACGAGUUAUUGUUUUAAAGAAGUUUUGUUUAACUUUCAAGCUUGUUGUCUGCCAUACCGGAAAUUUUGGAGCCUGUGUCUCUGUCUCUGAGACUGAGAGUAAAACUGUUGUAGCUUUACAUGUACAUCAGUUCAGUUGAAAUUGAAGACUUCUUCAAAGCCAAGUUUCAGUUUUUGUCAACUCAAGGAGCAUUUGCAGCCUCAUUUGUGUGUAAUUUCAGAGUCUCAUCUUGAGGCAAUUCAGCGAAGGCUUGCGCUGAAGGUGUUUAUAUUGUUAUUUCUGUGUACAGUUAUUUCAGAGGGCAGAAGGCCAUUUCUUGGAGGUAGUUAAAUUGUUAUUACAGCUCCAUAUCACUCAUCUCAUACCAUUUCACCUUCACCCUCAGAUCCUUUAGACGUAAAGGUGCGAGAAGUAAGAAACUCAUUUAGAACCUCAUCCUAAACUUCAUAUUCAUAACAUUUCAUUCAUACCAUAUACCAUACCAUUUCAUUUUCACCCUCUCACCUUUAGACGUAAAGGUGAGAGACAAAACGAACUCAUUUAGAACCUCAGAAACUUCAUUUUAAACUUUCAUCGAAAUUUCAUCUGGAAGUCUGUCUACCAAUUCACGACAAUAACCCUUGCAUUUAGAGGCUUGGGUGAGUCACAAGGAAUUGGGGAUAGCAACGAACAAACAGAACUUUUAAACACAUAAUUCUUUUAAACGCAUAAUUCUUUUAAACAACUUAAAAAACUA